UUUGGUAUUAACUUUGAUAUAAAGGGUAAACCAGAGAGUGAUUGCCCACUGACAGUGAUCGCCCACUUUAAGAAAAAUAUUCUCAUGUGCUAUCUUUGAAUCAUUCUAGUUCGAUUAGAAUUUACUAGGUGGCUCUGUGAUUAUUGUAUAGUAUUUUUAAAAUUGACUGCUGGCAA